UCCAGUUAAAAACAGAUGAAUUAAUAUAUUUCAUUAUUGUAAUAAACUCUGUUUCAGCCGUCCCCUCUGUGGUCCCGUAUGUAACUGUUUUGGCUGCUCUUUGUGGUCUAGUAGCUCUUCUCACUGUACUUAUCUGGUGAGAGAUCAACAUGACUAUCAGAACGUUGACCCCAAUGGACAGAAUGACACGUACACAGAUCUUCAGUCCACGGCCAGGUCCUCUGAUGAGGUUUACCUCACAUAAACACUGACCCUAAAGCUCAGGAUGACACGUACACAGCUCUUUAGCCCUCAGCCAGGUCCUCUGAUGAUGUGUACCACACACUUGCAGUAAGUGUCUCUUCACAAAUCCUCCCUCUUGAUUAUAAAACCAAUUUUAUAAAACACAGACUUGCAACCUUGUUUUUUUA